rnacentral:lncRNA from 1 species
CCUUUUCUUACGAGAUAAGCUUUUGGCUUGUGUAGUAUUCGGUGUAGCCCCAUCAACACUCUCACCACUAUUAUGAGAUACAGUAGGCUCAUCUCUCAUUCUCUGCAAGUUAACAGUCUCGCAACUAUUAUGAGGAAAAGUUGAUCUCUUACCGGAAAGACUACUCCCACCUCUAGUUCUCACCAUAGCUGGAAAAGAAAAAAAACUUUUAAUUAAGUAUAGGAUAAAUAAAAGAAAUUAUUCAAGAUGAUGUUGUAAUGCAAUUUCAAAAUUAUUCACUACUCUACUAGCUCCAAAAUCGAUUAGCAUCUUACUUGUUUGCAAGACAGUAGCAUUCAACAGUACAAAGAACAAUUUAUAUACCCAACAUAUACAAAAUAAUCACAUAAAAUUUACAAGCUAUCACAAAAUAAUCACAUAAAAUCAGAAAGCACUAUCAUGUUUCAGUGGCUACUUAUAUAAUAGCCUCUCUUUUUUUAAUAGAAAACAUAGCAUAGAUUAUUGCAUCUACUAAAAUAAACAAUCAUAUAUAUUUCAUCAUAUAUAUUUCAUAUUCAGGAAAAAAGAGAAAAUCAGAAAGCACUAUCAUGUUUAUGCACAAAAUAAUGUGUAUCAAGUGUUAAGUAUUGUUCAAGGUGGGAUGAAACUUAGAAGUUUUUGGAAGAAAAACAUAAGACAAUCAAGAAAUCUUAAUUUCAUGUUCAUGUUCAUCUAUGACAUUUAGGGGAAAUGAACUGAAAAGCGGCCAAACAUGGCAUGACUUCAACUGUACCUAGAUUGUGGGUAGGUUUUGCAAAAAUAAAUCCAUGUUGUAACUAUAUACACAUAUUUAACUAAUUUGUAUGACUUUGCUACAUUAUACUUGUUACAUUAUACUUAUAAUUAUAUUGUUUUGUAAAAAUCAGUUACAUACAAUGACUUUGCUAUCUAUGCUCCCUUUAUUCCAUUAGUUUGGCAAUGAGUAUUUACAUGAUUUUAACCAAUAAUAGAAUGUGUUUUAAUAAGAUUAAUUAGUUCUGAUUUUGCUUUUGAAUAUAUAUGCCUUCUGCUAUAUAUUUUAAUUUGAUCAAGCAUUAAUUGGCCAACUGCCAUUGUAGCAUAUUUUAAUAAACAUUUAUGGGGCUUUACUAUUUUUUUUUCUUACUGUAUUUUACAGUUACUACUUAGGAAAUCAUUAAUAAGCAAAUCAUGUUUGUAACCAUCUAGUGGAUAUGGUUUCUAGUAUUAAAGAGAGUUAUGUUGUAGCAUAGUUGGGCUUUUGAGUUUGAAUUGUACUCUGAAUAAGUAGAUACAAUGUAUUUUGUUGUUUUAUUUGGCUGUUGAUGCUCAACAUUAGUUUUUUACUUUCUUGUAGAGCAGCAAUCACUUUAUAGUACAUUUGGUCUUUGAUUGCAUAACUGUGGAAAAACCUGAAAGAUGAUUGGCUCAUUUAUUCAUCUAUAUUUUGGUGUUAAUAGGGUGCACUAUGCAGAAAGUGGUGAAGAAAGCAUAGAGACAGAGUAAUAGACACCUUGUUUUCUGUAUUUAAUUCCCUUCCCAUCUCUUCUAACCAAAAAAGGAAAAGAAAAGUUUCACUGUUCUAUAAGAAUUUUGAGUUGUAAUAUUUGUAAUAGACACCUUGUUUGCAUAUGAGUUUGAGAUUAAUUAAACAAAUUGGAUAGAAAUUUUGACAAAAUAAAACCAAGUAUAAGUUAAAGUCAGAGGGUAACAACUGGAAUUAGGAUAAAACAAAUGAAAUACAUAACCAGCCAAAACAUAAUAUAAAAUCAAAUUCCUUUCAUAUACCAAAUUUGUCUCUAUAGGCCCAAACAAAUAAAUUGAAAUACAAGAUUUGUAUAUAUAUUUAAUAUCAAUCUGGUAGGAUAAUAAUUAAAGUAAAUAUUAAUUGAAUUACAAAUAAAAGAAUACAAAAUGAAUGUCAAAUUAAUGAAAUAAUGAGUAACCCUUCCAUUCCAACAAAAGAAGAAUUCCAAUUUAAGUCUUUUCCUAAUCAGUUUUAUAUUAGAUUUGUUUAUAAACUACACUUCUUUCUCAAUCAAAGUAAUUAACUAACAAAGUUUCAUAUAUAUUCAUGCAUACAUAUACGUACGUAAUUAACUUACAAACAUAUAUAAAUUGAGGGACAUAUGUAUGUUAAAUCUCCACAAACACAUGAACAAUCAAAUUGUCAAUAACAGUUCGUAAAACAUCUCUAUAAAAACAGGAAUUGGGGCCAAUUUCGAAUAGAGAAAGCAUAAUCACAAUUCUAAAAUAAGAAUUGGGGAAAAAUUAGAACAGAGACAGGAAAGAGGGAGAGAAUAAACACCCAAGGAGAGGACUUACCUUCGAAAUCACAACCUUAACUGGGCAACUUUGGUAGAAGAUGGGUCUAGGGUUUCAG